rnacentral:rRNA from 1 species
UGACUNGAGUGCAGAAGGGGAGAGAGGAAUUCCAUGUGUAGCGGUGAAAUGCGUAGAUAUAUGGAGGAACACCAGUGGCGAAAGCGGCUCUCUGNUCUGUCACUGACGCUGAGGCUNGAAAGCGUGGGUAGCGAACAGGAUUAGAUACCCUGGUAGUNCACGCCGUAAACGAUGAGUGCUAGGUGUUAGGCCCUUUCCGGGGCUUAGUGCCGGAGCUAACGCAAUAAGCACUCCGCCUGGGGAGUACGACCGCAAGGUUGAAACUCAAAGGAAUUGACGGGGGCCCGCACAAGCGGUGGAGCAUGUGGUUUAAUUCGAAGCAACGCGAAGAACCUUACCAGGUCUUGACAUCCCGAUGCUAUUCUUAGAGAUAGGAAGUUACUUCGGUACAUCGGAGACAGGUGGUGCAUGGUUGUCGUCAGCUCGUGUCGUGAGAUGUUGGGUUAAGUCCCGCAACGAGCGCAACCCUUAUUGUUAGUUGCCAUCAUUAAGUUGGGCACUCUAGCGAGACUGCCGGUAAUAAACCGGAGGAAGGUGGGGAUGACGUCAAAUCAUCAUGCCCCUUAUGACCUGGGCUACACACGUGCUACAAUGGUCGGUACAACGAGUUGCGAGCCGGUGACGGCAAGCUAAUCUCUGAAAGCCGAUCUCAGUUCGGAUUGGAGGCUGCAACUCGCCUCCAUGAAGUCGGAAUCGCUAGUGAUCGCGGAUCAGCACGCCGCGGUGAAUACGUUCCCGGGCCUUGUACACACCGCCCGUCACACCACGAGAGUUUGUAACACCCGAAGUCGGUGAGGUAACCUUUUAGGGGCCAGCCGCC